ACGGGAGGCAGCAGUGGGGGAUAUUGCACAAUGGGGGAAACCCUGAUGCAGCGACGCCGCGUGGAGGAAGAAGGUUUUCGGAUUGUAAACUCCUGUCGUAAGGGACGAUAAUGACGGUACCUUACAAGAAAGCCACGGCUAACUACGUGCCAGCAGCCGCGGUAAAACGUAGGUGGCAAGCGUUGUCCGGAAUUACUGGGUGUAAAGGGAGCGCAGGCGGGCUGUCAAGUUGGAAGUGAAAUCUAUGGGCUCAACCCAUAAAUUGCUUUCAAAACUGAUGGUCUUGAGUAGUGCAGAGGUAGGCGGAAUUCCCGGUGUAGCGGUGGAAUGCGUAGAUAUCGGGAGGAACACCAGUGGCGAAGGCGGCCUACUGGGCACCAACUGACGCUGAGGCUCGAAAGCAUGGGUAGCAAACAGGAUUAGAUACCCUGGUA
rnacentral:rRNA from 1 species